GACGAACGCUGGCGGCGUGCCUAAUACAUGCAAGUAGAACGCUGAAGGAGGAGCUUGCUUCUCUGGAUGAGUUGCGAACGGGUGAGUAACGCGUAGGUAACCUGCCUGGUAGCGGGGGAUAACUAUUGGAAACGAUAGCUAAUACCGCAUAAGAGUAGAUGUUGCAUACCGUUGGUUGAAAAGUUUCAGUGGAUGGAUACCAACUGGAGCCGCGUUGGAUUAGUGAGGUGGUGGGGGAACGGCAUACCAAGGCGGGGUUACAGAGCCGACCGGGGAUGGGGGGCGGCCACACUGGGACGGAGACACGGCCCAGACUCCCACGGGAAGCAGCAGGAGGGAAUCGGCGGCAAUGGGCGGAAGUCUGACCGAGCUACGCGGAGGGAGUGAGGAGGAAUUUCGGGUCGGAAAGCACUGUUGUCAGGGAAGAACGAGCGUGAGAGUGGAAAGUUCACACUGUGACGGUAUCUUAUCAGAAAGCGACGGCUAACUACGUG
rnacentral:rRNA from 1 species